GAUGAACGCUGGCGGCGUGCCUAAUACGUGCAAGUCGAGCGAACAGAUGAGGAGCUUGCUCCUCUGACGUUAGCGGCGGACGGGUGAGUAACACGUGGAUAACCUACCUAUAAGACUGGGAUAACUUCGGGAAACCGGAGCUAAUACCGGAUAAUAUAUUGAACCGCAUGGUUCAAUAGUGAAAGACGGUUUUGCUGUCACUUAUAGAUGGAUCCGCGCCGCAUGAGCUAGUUGGUAAGGUAACGGCUUACCAAGGCAACGAUGCGUAGCCGACCUGAGAGGGUGAUCGGCCACACUGGAAAUGAGACACGGUCCAGACUCCUACGGGGGGCAGCAGUAGGGAAUCUUCCGCAAUGGGCGAAAGCCUGACGGAGCAACGCCGCGUGAGUGAUGAAGGUCUUCGGAUCGUAAAACUCUGUUAUUAGGGAAGAACAAAUGUGUAAGUAACUAUGCACGUCUUGACGGUACCUAAUCAGAAAGCCACGGCUAACUACGUG
rnacentral:rRNA from 1 species